rnacentral:rRNA from 1 species
UACGUAGGAGACAAACGUUAUCCGGAGUUACUGGGCGUAAAGGGCGUGUAGGCGGUUUGUUAAGUCUGGCGUGAAAGCUCUCGGCUAAACCGGGAGAGGUCGUUGGAUACUGGCUGACUAGAGGACGGUAGAGGCGUGUGGAAUUCCGGGUGUAGUGGUGAAAUGCGUAGAGAUCCGGAGGAACACCAGUGGCGAAGGCGACACGCUGGGCCGUACCUGACGCUAAAGCGCGACAGCAUGGGGAGCAAACGGG